AUCCCCCUGCGGUGUUCGUGGCAGCCGUAAUUUCCUUGAACCAAUAGUUGGAAGACCCGGUUGCUGACCAUGGAAACCGUUGGUGUGCCAGCCCUUCACGGGCGAGCCUGAAACGGAAGGGAUGCGACCCCCUGAACCCCAGGUUCAGGAUGACCCGGCGACACGGCACAAGCGGGGGGACC
rnacentral:other from 1 species